rnacentral:rRNA from 1 species
UAGGGAAUCUUCGGCAAUGGGGGGAACCCUGACCGAGCAACGCCGCGUGAGUGAAGAAGGUUUUCGGAUCGUAAAGCUCUGUUGUUAAGGAAGAACGAGUGUGAGAAUGGAAAGUUCAUACUGUGACGGUACUUAACCAGAAAGGGACGGCUAACUACGUGCCAGCAGCCGCGGUAAUACGUAGGUGGCAAGCGUUAUCCGGAUUUAUUGGGCGUAAAGAGAGUGCAGGCGGUUUUCUAAGUCUGAUGUGAAAGCCUUCGGCUUAACCGGAGAAGUGCAUCGGAAACUGGAUAACUUGAGUGCAGAAGAGGGUAGUGGAACUCCAUGUGUAGCGGUGGAAUGCGUAGAUAUAUGGAAGAACACCAGUGGCGAAGGCGGCUACCUGGUCUGCAACUGACGCUGAGACUCGAAAGCAUGGGUAGCGAACAGGAUUAGAUACCCUGGUAGUCCAUGCCGUAAACGAUGAGUGCUAGGUGUUGGAGGGUUUCCGCCCUUCAGUGCCGGAGCUAACGCAUUAAGCACUCCGCCUGGGGAGUACGACCGCAAGGUUG